rnacentral:rRNA from 1 species
UACGUAGGGUGCGAGCGUUUGUCCGGAAUUAUUGGGCGUAAAGGGCUCGUAGGCGGUUUGUCGCGUCGGGAGUGAAAACCUCGGGCUUAACUCGGGGCUUGCUUUCGAUACGGGCAGACUGGAGGUAUGCAGGGGAGAACGGAAUUCCUGGUGUGAGCGGUGGAAAUGCGCAGAUAUCAGGAGGAACACCGGUGGCGAAGGCGGUUCUCUGGGCAUGACCUGACGCUGAGGAGCGAAAGUGUGGGGAGCGAACAGG